rnacentral:lncRNA from 1 species
AUUCAAAAUGAUUGCGAAAGAGGAGUUCCCGUCGUGGCUCAGUGGUUAACAAAUCCGACAAGGAACCAUGAGGUUGCGGGAUCGAUCCUGGCCCCGUUUAGCCGGUUAAGGAUCCGGCGCUCGAGGCCAACCCAGUUUUUCAGGUGACAAAGGUGAGCAGAAGAAAUUACUGCCCUACCUGGAGCUCCGAUAAGGGUUCAGAAUCCUCAGGAAUGAAGGUUGGAGUCAGCCCCCUGGACCAAGAACUUUCACCAAGAAGGAAGCCUCAGCCCAUGACCUGCAUCCAUAUGGCUGUAGCCUCCAUCUGAAGCCACAUGGAAUAUUUACGCUUCCCCACCAAAAAAAAGAAGUGUUGAGUAGUUCUUGCUAUGGUAUAGUGGGUUAAGAACCCGACUGCACAACUCUAAAGAAAAAAAUAAAAAUCUAUACAAUAUAGAAAGGACA